UUUUAAAGAUCCCAUGGGAACUAUUUGAUUUUCCGGGAUAAAAAUUUUUGCCUAAAACAAUUACAGGGGCGCAAUCUACCUCGAUACCAACAUACAAAUUGGUUAAGCAGAUUGGUUUUUGGGAAUCCCGUGGGAACUCUUUGAUUUUCCGGGAUAAAAAGUAGCCUAUGUCCGUCCCCGGGAUAUAA